ACGACGCUGGCGGCGUGGAUUAGGCAUGCAAGUCGAACGGCAGCACAGCAGUAGCAAUACUGUGGGUGGCGAGUGGCGGACGGGUGAGGAAUACGUCGGAAUCUGCCCAGUCGUGGGGGAUAACUAGCCGAAAGGUUAGCUAAUACCGCAUACGACCGAGAGGUGAAAGCGGGGGACCGCAAGGCCUCGCGCGAUUGGAUGAGCCGACGUCGGAUUAGCUAGUUGGCGGGGUAAAGGCCCACCAAGGCGACGAUCCGUAGCUGGUCUGAGAGGAUGAUCAGCCACACUGGAACUGAGACACGGUCCAGACUCCUACGGGAGGCAGCAGUGGGGAAUAUUGGACAAUGGGCGCAAGCCUGAUCCAGCAAUGCCGCGUGUGUGAAGAAGGCCUUCGGGUUGUAAAGCACUUUUAUCAGGAACGAAAAGCGUUGGAUUAAUACUCUGACGUGCUGACGGUACCUGAGGAAUAAGCACCGGCUAACUACGUG
rnacentral:rRNA from 1 species